rnacentral:lncRNA from 1 species
CAGCUAUCCACUGCCAUUCACUUAGGUAGGCCCUAGCUAGAGGCUGGGGUUACUGAGGCAGCUCAGACCUGCCCCUGCCUUCCCAGAGCCCAGUAUCUUGUUGGAGGCAGACAAGGAAGAGUUGCUAAUGUGCAAUGUAUACGUGGUGACAAGGACGUGAUGAUCACUGCUAAGUGGGGUCUUGGGCUGGCUACAGACAAAUUUCCUGUCCCCCAGUAGAACUUAGAGCAGUUCUUUGCACCAAGGGGCUCUUACCCACAGAUGAUGCAGCUUCUUCAGAUAUGCAAAAACACAAGGGAGCUUGUAAGACUGUCCAUCCCUCUAGGAGGGUCCCUGGGCCUUGGGACCAAGGUCACCUCCCACCGUCUGUUAGGAUGAGAUGCACACUCAUCUGUUAGGUAGGGACAGGUGCAUACUGGUAGAGACAGGUGCACACUGUCUGGCAGCCUGGGAGUCCCCUGUCUAACCACAGGAGAGGCUGCCAGCAGCUCCCUGAUCAGCUUGGUGGGAGGACAUCCUGUGACACCAAGAUACCCUACAGAGAGAGCUGGAGGGACAGAGAACACCCAGGCUGGCGAGCUCCUUUAUCUCUGGGUGAGGUGGUCAUAUGGGCUGGAGAGGACGGGCAGGAGCUCCUUCUGGGGAGGCUAAGGCCACAGAUGCCUUGGUGGUAGCCACUCCCAGUUACCACCAGAGGGCGCCAAAGUGCCGCCCACGCAGCUCAGCCGGCUCAGCUCGCGGAAGGAGCUCUGUGUAGAGUCAUUGGGGCGACCCCUAGGGCCAAGCAAGCCCAUGCCAUCGUUCCAGAGACCCUGGGCCCACCCCGCUGGUGCCAAAUCCAGGCCUUACCACCCUCUGCCCUGUCUUCUCUGGGGAGUGGAGCAAAUGAUGCUGCCUGCCCACGGGUGCCUCUCUCAGUGCUUACAGGGCCCGAGCCCACUUGCUGGGCUGGGUGGGUGGUGGUGUCCGCCCGAUAGAGCUGGAGAAAGGGGUGAGCGUCACUCUCUCUAGGAGGAUGACGCAAUGUGCUCCACAACCUACACCUCCAUUCACUCAUUCAGCCAGGGCAGCGGAGCACCCCGUCGCUGCCAGGCACUGCCGCGGGCACUUACGUGAGGGACAAAACAAAGGCCCCACCUCGUGGAACUCACAGCCCAGGCCAGGAAGCAGUCGGCUUUGUCUGCCAAAGGUCAAAUAUAAUGGCAAAAACCGCAACUACUUUUGCACCAACCUACUUAAAUCCGCUAGGCUGUUGGGCCGUGCUCCCCUUGACUCUGCCUUCAUGGUGGAAAGCAGCUCCGGGUGGGGCUAAGCAGUCUCGUGCGGGGUGUCCCCAUCACAUCGUACUUGUGGACGCUGACGGCGAACCUCGUGUGAUUUUCAUGGGUCGUGAAUAUCAUCCUCCUUUUGAUUUUCAGCUAUUAAACAACAGAAAACCAUUUUUGGCUCUUGAGCUCUAUAAACACAACUAGCGGGUGGGAUCCACCCCGCGGCUGGAGUUUGCAGACCUGGGUCCAGGAAGGAAGGAAGGAGACGGUACACAGUGAACAUCAUCGCGUGAGCCUGCCCUGCUGCCAGUGGGGACACAGCGGACCAAGCAGGGGUGCUGACCUCGCUAUCAAAUACCCAAGUUGGAUGUUGCUGCCACAGAUCCUGUGGGCUGAGGCGUGCCCUGGACUCUCACGGGACAGGCGCUGGCAAACCAGGGGAGGGUCUCACAUGAAAGGACCACAGCAGACUCGUCCCUUUGUCAGAGGAAAGAAAUAGAAUACUGUUUGGAUUACAGAUACUAGUAAAAUAUGAUCUUGAAAAAACAUUUGAUAAAUUACAGCAGGAAUUUAUAAUUUAAAAAAAAUCGCCAGGCGUGGUGGCUCACGCCUGUAAUCCCAGCACUUUGGAAGGCUGAGGCAGGUAGAUCACCUGAGGUCAGGAGUUCAAGACCAGCCUGUCCAACAUGAUGAAACCCCGCCUCUAUUUAAAAAAAAAAAUUAGCUGGGCAUGAUUGCGCAUGCCUGUAAUUCCCAGCUACUCAGGAGGCUGAGGCAGGAGAAUCGCUUGAACCUGGGAGGCGGAGGUUGCAGUGAGCCGAGAUCGCACUAUUGCACUCCAGCCUGGGAGACUAGAGCAAAACUCUGUCUAAAAAAAAAGAAAAAUCACAAUUUCUUAGCAACUAGAAAUAAAAGGAAAUUUCUUUCACCUGAUAAAGGGCACAUAUCAGACAUAUGGAAGAAACUUUAUACUUCAUGUUGAAACAUCAGCAGCAGGAACAAGACAAGGAUGCUGACUCAGUGCUACAAUUCAGCACCGUCAUAGAGUCCUAGCCAAUGCAGUAACACAAGAAAAUAAAUAAGAAGGAUAAAAAUUAGCAGGGAGGAGACAAGGGCAGGAACCAUCUCUGUCCUCUUGUUUCCAAUUAAGCAGAUACCUAAUAAAUUUUAUUAAAUUGGAGGAAAAUUCAUUGUAUCCUUAAAGAAGGUUCUUGAAGGUAACAGAGCAGAAUGGAUCCUUUAGUAGCUAAAGUCUGAAAUAUUCAGUGGUCGUCAAGAAGUUCCAUUGGUCAUGGACCUGCCAAAAAGAUAGAAG